rnacentral:rRNA from 1 species
UACGUAGGGGGCUAGCGUUGUCCGGAAUCAUUGGGCGUAAAGCGCGUGUAGGCGGCCCGGCAAGUCCGCUGUGAAAGUCGGGGGCUCAACCCUCGGAUGCCGGUGGAUACUGUCGGGCUCGAGUACGGAAGAGGCGAGUGGAAUUCCUGGUGUAGCGGUGAAAUGCGCAGAUAUCAGGAGGAACACCAAUUGCGAAGGCAGCUCGCUGGGACGUUACUGACGCUGAGACGCGAAAGCGUGGGGAGCAAACAGG